GCAUCCUUAGCUCAGUUGGAUAGAGCGUUGGCCUCCGGAGCCAAAGGUCGCUGGUUCGAAUCCAGCAGGAUGCA
rnacentral:tRNA from 1 species